CACACAUCAUAAAUCAGAUCUUUUAAGGAGUUAGUGUUGUCCCAUAGAUAAAAGCAUGGACGGUGUAAAUUCAAAGGCGUACUCACUCACACCGAUGGGAAGUUUGAAAUCACUAAUUCACUACUUUAUAUUGUUCAAAAUGUGUGUGUGAGAGAGAGAGAGAUCCAAACCUCGUAUGUACCAGUCAAACUCAGAGAGGUUGUGUAGGGCACUCCGAUAUUCGUCCAGGUGUAAGGGUAUGGUUUCAUCAUCUUUGUACGCUAGACUCCUCGUCUCCACAGCAAUAAUCCAUGCCUAUACGGAUCAGAUACUGCAAUCUGCUCAUAGGCCAA
rnacentral:lncRNA from 1 species